GGUUAAGCGACUAAGCGUACACGGUGGAUGCCCUGGCAGUCAGAGGCGAUGAAGGACGUGCUAAUCUGCGAUAAGCGUCGGUAAGGUGAUAUGAACCGUUAUAACCGGCGAUUUCCGAAUGGGGAAACCCAGUGUGUUUCGACACACUAUCAUUAACUGAAUCCAUAGGUUAAUGAGGCGAACCGGGGGAACUGAAACAUCUAAGUACCCCGAGGAAAAGAAAUCAACCGAGAUUCCCCCAGUAGCGGCGAGCGAACGGGGAGCAGCCCAGAGCCUGAAUCAGUGUGUGUGUUAGUGGAAGCGUCUGGAAAGGCGCGCGAUACAGGGUGACAGCCCCGUACACAAAAAUGCACAUGCUGUGAGCUCGAUGAGUAGGGCGGGACACGUGGUAUCCUGUCUGAAUAUGGGGGGACCAUCCUCCAAGGCUAAAUACUCCUGACUGACCGAUAGUGAACCAGUACCGUGAGGGAAAGGCGAAAAGAACCCCGGCGAGGGGAGUGAAAAAGAACCUGAAACCGUGUACGUACAAGCAGUGGGAGCACAGAGCAAUCUGUGUGACUGCGUACCUUUUGUAUAAUGGGUCAGCGACUUAUAUUCUGUAGCAAGGUUAACCGAAUAGGGGAGCCGAAGGGAAACCGAGUCUUAACUGGGCGUUAAGUUGCAGGGUAUAGACCCGAAACCCGGUGAUCUAGCCAUGGGCAGGUUGAAGGUUGGGUAACACUAACUGGAGGACCGAACCGACUAAUGUUGAAAAAUUAGCGGAUGACUUGUGGCUGGGGGUGAAAGGCCAAUCAAACCGGGAGAUAGCUGGUUCUCCCCGAAAGCUAUUUAGGUAGCGCCUCGUGAAUUCAUCUCCGGGGGUAGAGCACUGUUUCGGCAAGGGGGUCAUCCCGACUUACCAACCCGAUGCAAACUGCGAAUACCGGAGAAUGUUAUCACGGGAGACACACGGCGGGUGCUAACGUCCGUCGUGAAGAGGGAAACAACCCAGACCGCCAGCUAAGGUCCCAAAGUCAUGGUUAAGUGGGAAACGAUGUGGGAAGGCCCAGACAGCCAGGAUGUUGGCUUAGAAGCAGCCAUCAUUUAAAGAAAGCGUAAUAGCUCACUGGUCGAGUCGGCCUGCGCGGAAGAUGUAACGGGGCUAAACCAUGCACCGAAGCUGCGGCAGCGACGCUUAUGCGUUGUUGGGUAGGGGAGCGUUCUGUAAGCCUGUGAAGGUGUGCUGUGAGGCAUGCUGGAGGUAUCAGAAGUGCGAAUGCUGACAUAAGUAACGAUAAAGCGGGUGAAAAGCCCGCUCGCCGGAAGACCAAGGGUUCCUGUCCAACGUUAAUCGGGGCAGGGUGAGUCGACCCCUAAGGCGAGGCCGAAAGGCGUAGUCGAUGGGAAACAGGUUAAUAUUCCUGUACUUGGUGUUACUGCGAAGGGGGGACGGAGAAGGCUAUGUUGGCCGGGCGACGGUUGUCCCGGUUUAAGCGUGUAGGCUGGUUUUCCAGGCAAAUCCGGAAAAUCAAGGCUGAGGCGUGAUGACGAGGCACUACGGUGCUGAAGCAACAAAUGCCCUGCUUCCAGGAAAAGCCUCUAAGCAUCAGGUAACAUCAAAUCGUACCCCAAACCGACACAGGUGGUCAGGUAGAGAAUACCAAGGCGCUUGAGAGAACUCGGGUGAAGGAACUAGGCAAAAUGGUGCCGUAACUUCGGGAGAAGGCACGCUGAUAUGUAGGUGAAGUCCCUCGCGGAUGGAGCUGAAAUCAGUCGAAGAUACCAGCUGGCUGCAACUGUUUAUUAAAAACACAGCACUGUGCAAACACGAAAGUGGACGUAUACGGUGUGACGCCUGCCCGGUGCCGGAAGGUUAAUUGAUGGGGUUAGCGGUAACGCGAAGCUCUUGAUCGAAGCCCCGGUAAACGGCGACCGUAACUAUAACGGUCCUAAGGUAGCGAAAUUCCUUGUCGGGUAAGUUCCGACCUGCACGAAUGGCGUAAUGAUGGCCAGGCUGUCUCCACCCGAGACUCAGUGAAAUUGAACUCGCUGUGAAGAUGCAGUGUACCCGCGGCAAGACGGAAAGACCCCGUGAACCUUUACUAUAGCUUGACACUGAACAUUGAGCCUUGAUGUGUAGGAUAGGUGGGAGGCUUUGAAGUGUGGACGCCAGUCUGCAUGGAGCCGGCCUUGAAAUACCACCCUUUAAUGUUUGAUGUUCUAACGUUGGCCCCUGAUCGGGGUUGCGGACAGUGUCUGGUGGGUAGUUUGACUGGGGCGGUCUCCUCCUAAAGAGUAACGGAGGAGCACGAAGGUUGGCUAAUCCUGGUCGGACAUCAGGAGGUUAGUGCAAUGGCAUAAGCCAGCUUGACUGCGAGCGUGACGGCGCGAGCAGGUGCGAAAGCAGGUCAUAGUGAUCCGGUGGUUCUGAAUGGAAGGGCCAUCGCUCAACGGAUAAAAGGUACUCCGGGGAUAACAGGCUGAUACCGCCCAAGAGUUCAUAUCGACGGCGGUGUUUGGCACCUCGAUGUCGGCUCAUCACAUCCUGGGGCUGAAGUAGGUCCCAAGGGUAUGGCUGUUCGCCAUUUAAAGUGGUACGCGAGCUGGGUUUAGAACGUCGUGAGACAGUUCGGUCCCUAUCUGCCGUGGGCGCUGGAGAACUGAGGGGGGCUGCUCCUAGUACGAGAGGACCGGAGUGGACGCAUCACUGGUGUUCGGGUUGUCAUGCCAAUGGCACUGCCCGGUAGCUAAAUGCGGAAGAGAUAAGUGCUGAAAGCAUCUAAGCACGAAACUUGCCCCGAGAUGAGUUCUCCCUGACUCCUUGAGAGUCCUGAAGGAACGUUGAAGACGACGACGUUGAUAGGCCGGGUGUGUAAGCGCAGCGAUGCGUUGAGCUAACCGGUACUAAUGAACCGUGAGGCUUAACCUU
rnacentral:rRNA from 1 species